rnacentral:lncRNA from 1 species
CGGCCGACGUGUAGUGCCAGCGACAGCCAUGGCUAACGGGGAUGAUUCAUCGUCAAGUUCAUCUGGAACCAUGACGGCGCUUGGCACAGCAGGUGCGUUGCGGCGGUACCAUGGCCAUCUGGGUCAUGAUGUGUACUGACUCCCGUACGGUGUAGUCAACAAAUCCCUGCUAAUCCAAGAACAUCGACAUUGGUCGGAACGUAUUCAUCAGCGGGUUCUUGGCAGGGAAAUCCACACAAUAGGUGGGUCAAAUCCGAAAAAAUAUACUAAGAGCAAAAAUGGAAUCGUGAGAACGAGGGGAAUCCAUUUUUGCAAA